AUGGACAAGGAAAAAGGGGAAGUAGAGGAGGAGGAGAAGGAGAAGGAGAGAAGCUUGGUGUCCAUUAUGAAGACUAAGCCGCUUGUCCCAGGAAGCGGAAGGGCAAGGGCAAGGGUUGUGUCGCUGCCGAGGAAGCGGGCCAAGGAUUACGGCAAUGUCCCGCUCGCCGAGUUGUUAUUAAGGGUAAAAAAGAUCCUCCACCUUAACGUCUUGCUGACCCUGCCGAUGCCAAGAGCCGCACCAACCCCACCAUCCGCCGCUGGACGGAAGAUCUCAAGACCUCUGCCUACCAAGCCGACCAUCUCCUCGAAAACUUCCGCUAUGCGGCGCUGUGCCGAUGACCACAUCCGCGGCCCCUCCUUUGCAAUGGAGCAUGAUAAGCAAGCGGAGAAGGAUUAUGAAGAGGAGGAAGAGAAUGGGGAGGACGAGGAUGAGCAAGGUACUUUGUUUGAGGAGGAGGAAGAUUCUUCUUAUUUUGCUGUCAAAGCGCUAAGUGUUAUGCUAUGCAAAAUUGCAUUGUUUGGCUGUCAACGUUCAAUAUUUUUGUUGUAUAAAGUUCAAAGGAGGAGCUGUCCAAAAUUAAAAAGCCAUGAUGUUCAAUUCUUUCUUAGUCAUAUAUAUUUGUUCCAUUUCUACACUUUUCAUAGAAGAAAGCUUAUUUUUUCAUCACUAUGA
rnacentral:rRNA from 1 species